AGCAGCCGCCACGGGAAUACGGAGGGUGCAAGCGUUAAUCGGAAUUACUGGGCGUAAAGCGCACGCAGGCGGUCUGACAAGUCAGAUGUGAAAUCCCCGGGCUUAACCUGGGAACUGCAUUUGAAACUGUCAGGCUGGAGUCUUGUAGAGGGGGGUGGAAUUCCAGGUGUAGCGGUGAAAUGCGUAGAGAUCUGGAGGAAUACCGGUGGCGAAGGCGGCCCCCUGGACAAAGACUGACGCUCAGGUGCGAAAGCGUGGGGAGCAAACAGGAUUAGAUACCCGAGUAGUCCCUGUCUCUUAUAC
rnacentral:rRNA from 1 species